GGGAGCAUAGCUCAGCUGGGAGAGCAUCUGCCUUACAAGCAGAGGGUCAUAGGUUCGAGUCCUAUUGUUCCCA
rfam:Clostridium sp. CAG:448 genomic scaffold, scf219